UGACACCAGUGCCUAUUUCUUUGGAUAAUAAAAGAAAUCAUUUCUAAGUAUGAACCAAGAUCCUCCUCAAUGGAUAAUAGGAAUGACAUCUUUGUGUUCCUGUUAAGCACACGAGCUGGAGGACUGGGUAUCAAUCUCACUGCUGCAGACACAGUGAUUUUCUAUGAUAGCGACUGGAACCCCACUGUGGACCAGCAGGCCAUGGACAGGGCCCACCGCUUAGGGCAGACAAAGCAGGUUACUGUGUACCGGCUCAUCUGUAAAGGCACCAUUGAAGAACGCAUUCUGCAAAGAGCCAAGGAGAAGAGUGAGAUUCAGCGGAUGGUGAUUUCAGGUGGGAACUUCAAACCAGAUACCUUGAAACCCAAAGAGGUGGUUAGUCUUCUUCUAGACGACGAAGAGUUGGAGAAGAAACUGAGGCUGCGGCAGGAAGAGAAACGGCAACAGGAGGAAACCAACCGAGUGAAAGAGCGCAAGCGGAAGCGGGAAAAGU
rnacentral:sRNA from 1 species